rnacentral:rRNA from 1 species
GUGGCGAACGGGUGAGUAACACGUGGGUGAUCUGCCCCUGACUUUGGGAUAAGCCUGGGAAACUGGGUCUAAUACCGGAUAUGACCAAGGAUUGCAUGGUUCUUGGUGGAAAGCUUUUGCGGUUGGGGAUGGGCCCGCGGCCUAUCAGCUUGUUGGUGGGGUAAUGGCCUACCAAGGCGACGACGGGUAGCCGACCUGAGAGGGUGAUCGGCCACACUGGGACUGAGACACGGCCCAGACUCCUACGGGAGGCAGCAGUGGGGAAUAUUGCACAAUGGGCGCAAGCCUGAUGCAGCGACGCCGCGUGAGGGAUGACGGCCUUCGGGUUGUAAACCUCUUUCAGCAGGGACGAAGCGCGAGUGACGGUACCUGCAGAAGAAGCACCGGCCAACUACGUGCCAGCAGCCGCGGUAAUACGUAGGGUGCGAGCGUUGUCCGGAAUUACUGGGCGUAAAGAGCUCGUAGGCGGUUUGUCGCGUCGUCUGUGAAAUU